rnacentral:rRNA from 1 species
GAUGAACGCUGGCGGCGUGCUUAACACAUGCCAGUCGAACGAUGAAGCCCAGCUUGCCGGGUGGAUUAGUGGCGAACGGGUGAGUAACACGUGAGUAACCUGCCCUUAACUCUGGGAUAAGCCUGGGAAACUGGGUCUAAUACCGGAUAGGAGCGUCCACCGCAUGGUGGGUGUUGGAAAGAUUUAUCGGUUUUGGAUGGACUCGCGGCCUAUCAGCUUGCUGGUGAGGUAAUGGCUCACCAAGGCGACGACGGGUAGCCGGCCUGAGAGGGUGACCGGCCACACUGGGACUGAGACACGGCCCAGACUCCUACGGGAGGCAGCAGUGGGGAAUAUUGCACAAUGGGCGCAAGCCUGAUGCAGCGACGCCGCGUGAGGGAUGACGGCCUUCGGGUUGUAAACCUCUUUCAGUAGGGAAGAAGCGAAAGUGACGGUACCUGCAGAAGAAGCACCGGCUAACUACGUG